CUCGCAGACUAAUAGUAAACGAGGACGAGGAGUUUCAAUGCGUAGACAUUCUAGUAAAGAACGAAGAGCAUUUGUUAUAAAACCUGUUGAUGGAAAUAAUAAAGUUAUGUUACUUGUUUUUGUAAAUCCUAGAAGUGGUGGAAAUGAGGGUGCAAGAAUUUUAGAAAAAUACCAAUAUUU
rnacentral:lncRNA from 1 species